rnacentral:tRNA from 1 species
UCUAUACGACUUAUUAAGGUGGCAGAGCCCGGUAAUUGCAAAAGACCUAAAACCUUAGCUCGAGAGUUCAAGUCCCUCCCUUAAUU